GACGAACGCUGGCGGCGUGCUUAACACAUGCAAGUCGAACGGAAAGGCCCUGCUUUUGUGGGGUGCUCGAGUGGCGAACGGGUGAGUAACACGUGAGUAACCUGCCCUUGACUUUGGGAUAACUUCAGGAAACUGGGGCUAAUACCGGAUAGGAGCUCCUGCUGCAUGGUGGGGGUUGGAAAGUUUCGGCGGUUGGGGAUGGACUCGCGGCUUAUCAGCUUGUUGGGGGGGUAGUGGCUUACCAAGGCUUUGACGGGUAGCCGGCCUGAGAGGGUGACCGGCCACAUUGGGACUGAGAUACGGCCCAGACUCCUACGGGAGGCAGCAGUGGGGAAUAUUGCACAAUGGGCGGAAGCCUGUUGCAGCAACGCCGCGUGCGGGAUGACGGCCUUCGGGUUGUAAACCGCUUUCGCCUGUGACGAAGCGUGAGUGACGGUAAUGGGUAAAGAAGCACCGGCUAACUACGUG
rnacentral:rRNA from 1 species